GGAAGUAAAAGUCGUAACAAGGUUUCCGUAGGUGAACCUGCGGAAGGAUCAUUAGUGAAUCUAGGACGUCCAACUUAACUUGGAGUCCGAACUCUCACUUUCUAACCCUGUGCAUCUGUUUUAAAAUUGGCUAGUAGCUCUUCGGAGUGAACCACCAUUUUUCACUUAUACAAACACAAAGUCUAUGAAUGUAAGCAAAUUUAUAACAAAACAAAACUUUCAACAACGGAUCUCUUGGCUCUCGCAUCGAUGAAGAACGCAGCGAACUGCGAUACGUAAUGUGAAUUGCAGAAUUCAGUGAAUCAUCGAAUCUUUGAACGCACCUUGCGCUCCUUGGUAUUCCGAGGAGCAUGCCUGUUUGAGUGUCAUGAAAUCUUCAACCCACCUCUUUCUUAGUGAAUCUGGUGGUGCUUGGUUUCUGAGCGCUGCUCUGCUUCGGCUUAUCUCGUUCGUAAUGCAUUAGCAUCCGCAACCGAAACUUCGGAUUGACUUGGCGUAAUAGACUAUUCGCUGAGGAUUCCAGACUUGUUCUGGAGCCGAGUUGGGUUAAAGGAAGCUUCUAAUCCUAAAGUCUAUUUUUUGAUUAGAUCUCAAAUCAGGUAAGACUACCCGCUGAACUUAAGCAUAUCAAUAAGCGGAGGA
rnacentral:rRNA from 1 species